rnacentral:rRNA from 1 species
UGACGGCCCUAUGGGUUGUAAACUGCUUUUNUANNCCANGNANGGGUNCUACGUGUAGGGCACUGACGGUAGCGUAGGAAUAAGCAUCGGCUAACUCCGUGCCAGCAGCCGCGGUAAUACGGAGGAUGCAAGCGUUAUCCGGAUUCAUUGGGUUUAAAGGGUGCGCAGGCGGGAAAGUAAGUCAGUGGUGAAAAACUGCCGCUCAACGGUAGUCGUGCCAUUGAUACUGCUUUCCUUGAGUUUGGAUGAGGUAGGCGGAAUGUGCAGUGUAGCGGUGAAAUGCAUAGAUAUUGCACAGAACACCAAUUGCGAAGGCAGCUUACUAAUCCACGACUGACGCUGAGGCACGAAAGCGUGGGGAGCGAACAGGAUUAGAUACCCUGGUAGUCCACGCCGUAAACGAUGUUCACUCGCUGUUUGCGAUACACAGUAAGCGGCUGAGCGAAAGCAUUAAGUGAACCACCUGGGGAGUACGAUCGCAAGGUUGAAACUCAAAGGAAUUGACGGGGGCCCGCACAAGCGGAGGAACAUGUGGUUUAAUUCGAUGAUACGCGAGGAACCUUACCUGGGCUUAAAUGUAGAGUGCAUGCGGUGGAAACACCCUUCCCUUCGGGGCUCUCUGCAAGGUGCUGCAUGGUUGUCGUCAGCUCGUGCCGUGAGGUGUCGGGUUAAGUCCCAUAACGAGCGCAACCCCUAUCGAUAGUUACCAGCACGUAAUGGUGGGGACUCUAUCGAGACUGCCGGUGUAAACCGUGAGGAAGGUGGGGAUGACGUCAAAUCAGCACGGCCCUUACAUCCAGGGCUACACACGUGUUACAAUGGCCGGUACAAAGGGCAGCUACACAGCGAUGUGAUGCUAAUCUCAAAAGCCGGUCUCAGUUCGGAUCGAAGUCUGCAACCCGACUUCGUGAAGCUGGAUUCGCUAGUAAUCGCGCAUCAGCCAUGGCGCGGUGAAUACGUUCCCGGGCCUUGUACACACCGCCUGUCAAGCCAUGGAAGCCGGGGGUACCUGAAGUAUGUAACCGCAAGGAGCNNC